AGAGUUUGAUUCUGGCUCAGGACGAACGCUGGCGGCGUGCUUAACACAUGCAAGUCGAGCGAUGAAACACCUUCGGGUGUGGAUUAGCGGCGAACGGGUGAGGAACACGUGAGGAAUCUGCCUUUCACUUCGGGAUAACUCCGGGAAACCGGGGCUAAUACCGGAUAUUUUCAACUGGCGGCAUCGCCGGUUGAAGAAAGUUUUUCGGUGAAAGAUGACCUCGCGGCCUAUCAGCUUGUUGGUGAGGUAAUGGCUCACCAAGGCAACGACGGGUAGCCGGCCUGAGAGGGCGACCGGCCACACUGGGACUGAGACACGGCCCAGACUCCUACGGGAGGCAGCAGUGGGGAAUAUUGGGCAAUGGAGGAAACUCUGACCCAGCGACGCCGCGUGAGGGAUGAAGGCCUUCGGGUUGUAAACCUCUUUCAGCAGGGAAUAAGCGAAAGUGAAGGUACCUGCAGAAGAAGCACCGGCUAACUAUGUGCCAGCAGCCGCGGUAAUACAUAGGGUGCAAGCGUUGUCCGGAAUUAUUGGGCGUAAAGAGCUCGUAGGUGGUCGAUCACGUCGGAUGUGAAAAUCUGAGGCUUAACCUCAGACCUGCAUUCGAUACGGGUUGACUAGAGUGUGGUAGGGGAGACUGGAAUUCCUGGUGUAGCGGUGGAAUGCGCAGAUAUCAGGAGGAACACCGAUGGCGAAGGCAGGUCUCUGGGCCAUUACUGACACUGAGGAGCGAAAGCGUGGGGAGCGAACAGGAUUAGAUACCCUGGUAGUCCACGCC
rnacentral:rRNA from 1 species